UAUGCACUUUAGGAACCUGCACAUUGAUAAUGAAUAUUCUGCUUGGAGGAUUUAUAGUUGCCCAAAAUGACAUUGAGCCAUUUAUGAUAUGGGGCUAUUAUAUUUCUCCAGUGAUGUAUGGACAAAAUGCUUUAGUCAUUAAUGAAUUUCUUGACAAAAGAUGGAGCGCCCCCAAUCCAGACCCCCGAAUUCAUGCACCUACAGGUGGGAAAGUCCUUCUCAAGUCUAGAGGCUUCUUCGCGGAUGACUACAUGUUUUAGGUUUGUGUUGGAGCACUCUUGGGGUUUUCUCUUCUCUUCAACAUUUUAUUUAUUGCAGCAUUGACUUUUUUGAACCCUCUUAGUGAUUCAAAAUCUAUAGUCUUGGAUGAAGAUGUUGGAAAGAAGAAUAAGAAAUCAUCUGGACGAAUGACCUCUGAAGGUUUUGAUAUGACGGUGAGAAAUGCUUCACGGGGUGCUGACUCUAGUGUUGGUGUUACUGAUCAUGCACCUAGAAAAGGAAUGUUUUUUCCCUUCCAACCCCUUUCACUUGCAUUCAAUCAUAUCAACUACUAUGUGGAUA